UUCAUCAAUGAUUUUAAUGACAAUAGUAAUUGACAAAUAUUUGUUUUGUUCUUAUUUCACAAAUAUCUUCCUAACUGAAUAGAAUAAAAACAUCUCAGAUAUAAUAUAAAGAUAUUAUAUCAGAUAAUUGAAAAGCAUGAAUAAUCCGAACAUUUAUUUCUUACAUAUUAUUAGUGUUGAAAAAUUCUCAAGAAUGAAAAAUCGGAGAAUAUUCUCGAGAAUAUUCUCGAUAUGGAGAAUUUUCUGAGAAUGAACCCCAUGACGCACUUAAGAAUAUUGUUGAAGAUGAAAAAUAGGGUUUUAAAAAUGAUGAUUUUAUAUACAAAAUUAUGAGACGAAACAACAGUGUUCUUUGCAUAUAAAAAAUACAAAAACAACAGAAAACACAAAAUUUCUUUGAUAAAAAAAUGAAAUUUUCUUCUUAACAGCAAAUAAUCGAUGUGGUAUGAUAAAAGAUGAGACCUCAGAUUCAGAAUCUAUUUCUAUCAUUAGCUCAUCCUAGUCAUCUAAAAUCUGCAUUUCAAUGUACUGAUGAGUUGUGGAAUUUUGUUUUUCACGAGUGGCCAGCUCAGUCAUGGAUUGGUCUACGUCUAACAAUUUUAAAUUGUGAGCAAUAAAAGUUACCUUACGAGCCCGUUCAGCAGUGAGCCGGUUUCUUUUAGAGGAGUGGAUAAAAAAACCAUAAGUACUGAAACUUCUUUCAGUCGCUGCACUGGAUGAAGGCAUGCUUAAUAUAUCAACUGUUAUUUUAGUUAAUUUUGUUCCGAAACAUGUACCUCUUCACCAUAUGAUUAAGUCUAGUUUUUCAAUUGAUUUUACAACGUAGGGUUUUCCAAAAAAUCCCUCCUUAGACCGAUAAAGUGCCAAAUCUGCCAUUAUUUCAGCCGACUCAUCACCAUAUUUUAAAGUUGCUAAAUUAUCUACAAACUCAGUUUCCUUAUCUUGUUCUUCUCUGCUUAAAUGAACACCAUUCUAAAUAUUUGAACGUUAAUAUUGCACCAAAACAAUAAAUAUUGACACUGUAAACACCCUUACUAGUGGUUCAUGGGAUUGGCAAAAACAAUAUAACUACAUAUUUUUUAAAUUAUAAUAAUUUGACCCGUAUCUAGUUUUUAUUUUUGUUUCGGUUUUUGAAAAUAUAGAAAAUUUUUGCCGAGAAUAUUCUCGAGAGAAUUUUCUGGCCGAGAAUAUUCUCGUUCUCGAGAAUAUUCUCUUGAGAGUAUUCUCUUCUAACAUCACUACAUAUUAUGAUACAUAUAAGCAUGCUAAUAACCGGCAAAAUAACGUAAAAGGUGGAAAACAAUACAUUGUGUAAGGGCCGGUUUUUCAGUGCUGGGUUAACCCAGAUUUUUCGGUCACCGAAAUUUUUAUGGUUAAUCAGUUUUUCAGUACUAGGUUAUCGCUUAAACCCGUUUAAGUUGACCAAGAUUUUAACCGAUACUCGCUAUCAUAGGUGGUUUAACUCCGAAUUUUCCGACAGACGUUUAUAUUUGCUGACAGAAGAGGUUAGUUAAAUUAUGACAUUUUGUGUUUAUCGCGGGAAAUAUUGUAUUAUGUAUUAUUAUAUUCUAUAAUUACUUUCAUCGCGACAAUAAUCCAUUUUACCUCGUUAUUUUUUAUUAUUAAAUUUAGAAAUUAUUAUCAUUAUCUAGGAAGGAAUUAUAACUAACAGGUAUGUUUACAUUAUUAUAUUUUAGAUUGGGUCUAUUGAAUAUAAAUAAGUAUAAUAAAAAUGUGUAUGUAUAGCUUAUGUACUUUUAGUAAUUAUGUACUUGAAAAUAACAGAGACUUGGUUUAAUUGUCCUAUAUUGGUGUAAGUUCAUUUUUUAAUUAAGUGUACUUUAGUCAGUAUGAAUGGACAAACAAAUAAUAUGCGGUCCUUCACAAAAACUUCACUGAAUGUGAAGUCACCCUAUUGGUGGACUUGGUGAACCAGCACAAGAAGAUAUUGGAAUGCAAAGAGACGGGCAUUGUUAGUAAUAAGCAGAAGUCUUAUGAAUGGGUAGAGCUUGCCGUUAAGUUUAAUGCUAAGUCUACUGCUGGAAUACCCCGCUCAGCAAAAAUCUUAAAGGAGAAGUGGACAAAUUUUUAAAAACCGCUGUAAAAAAUCACGGCAAAGAUAAGAGACACUGUAGAGCUACAGGUGGGGGUCCAUCGAAGCCAGCUGAGGAAACACCAGUUGACUGUGUUAUCAACGACAUAUUGGGUGAGCGAAAGACAGGAAUGCUAGCAGAGUGUGAUUCUGAUAUUAUUCAAACAGGCAAGUAUUGUAUGACAUUUAAAAUUUAGCCAUUUUAAUUAUGAGUUUUUUAGAACUUACGGCAGCGGACUUGUUUGUGAAUGAGAAUAAUGAGGAUGGUGUAGUGGAAAUACUUUAAAUAGAAAUAGAAGCGGAAGAAAUAUCAGAGGCAGAAAAUAAGCCAAAUAUAAAUGAAUCACCUUUAGAUUUAUUAAAUCCUGAUGGAGAUUGGUCUGAUUAUACACCAUCAAAACUGAAACAACCAGUGGCAAAGGAACUAAAGGAAAAAAAAGGAAAGGUAACUGGGAGUACCAGAAAUGCAAAAUGGUGCAAGGUGGCUGAAGCCAAAUUAGAAUUAUACCGGUUGAAAAAGCAAGCACUGAUAGCCGAUCACAAUAGAAAGAAGGACUUGCAUGACCUCCAAGUCAAAUAUCUAAAAGAAGAACACGAUUUAAAAAUGAGUUUAUUACGAGGAAAGCAGCAGCCACAAACCAAAAAAAUGUAAUAAAUAAAUAAAAUCUUUCUUUUGUAUGUAUUUUACCAUAUCUGGUUCAAUUUCAUCAUCUCCACCUCCCGCCUGUCCUAUUUUUGUUUGAUAAUCCUUCUAUCAAAUACUUCUUGUGUACAUAUUAACUGUAGCUCUGUAUUUUCUUCACCUUCAUUUGUUACAUUGUCUUUUUUUAAAAAUAAAUACUCAGAAAGUGUA
rnacentral:misc_RNA from 1 species